GUUGUUACCAACUUGUUUUGAACGUCCUAAAUUAAAGUUCGUACAAAUGCCAAUGGUAUGUCAUAAAACCAAUUACGUUUAAAAGUAGAAUAGCAUACUUUGUGUUUGUAUAGAUUGUGCAUUGAUUUAUUUUAUUAUUGUUAAGCGUCCUAAUUAUUUUCAAAUUUAAGACGAGGUAUGUAAAAGAUGCUGGAAAAAUAUGCAAGCUGUUCUAAAGUUCUGGCUUCCCCCGUACUCUGUAACCCAAUAACUACGCAUUUUCCCAUUUUAAUGGCUUCAUGGGCGACUGCAACCGCAUGAGGCACCUUAGCGGCUAUGCACAGAUAUUUAAAGAACCUGGAACAUAAUACUAUGUAAAAUAAAAACACGUAUUUACUAAAAUCUACAAAAUUAUAUUUAAAGACUUAA